AACUCAGAGCCUUGUGUCUGCAAAGGAGAGGUGGCACCACUGAGCUGAAGUCCUAUCUUCUUCCAUUGGUUUGUAUGACUUCAUUCCUUGGCGUUUGCAGAACCAGAGCCCAGUACACAUGAUGUCAGUAUGAGAGUGCAGUACUACUGUGUUUUGUUUGGAGAAAAGCAAACUUGUUCUCUAAACAGCCUGGAGCUUAACCUUUGAUGUGCAGCUUGGUAGAGCAAAGCAAAACAAGAGGGCUCUUGGGACCAGCAAAAGCAACAGGGUCCUAUCUCUUACUCCAUUCUUAGCUUCUAAGAAGGGGAACUGAACAAUGACUUCUUUAACUGAAGCAAGUCCCGCGAGGAGUUUGAAAGAUUCAGGCUGAAGAAACUUUUUAUGUCUGCAUUUAUUUUCACUAAGUUAUUCUGAAUGAAAACAGAAGUAGUGAAUGUGACAGAAGAUAAAAUCUAUUCAUUGGGCCAUUUCAACUUUUCUGCACAUCUGAAUAUCUUCCAAAUGUAAAACUGAAGGGAAAUAUGCGGGUAUGAUAAAAAGUACAAAUGAUGACUGCUACUGAGUGCCACAAUGGAAAGCAGAGAUCCUCAAUAUGAAAAGCCUGGUAACAGUAUGCACAAGUUUGUUCAGGGCAGUCAGCUGUGAGGUAGAGUUAGAAGGUACGUUUUAAAGUGUGCCGAAAACCAUGGGUACCAAACAAUGCAUUUCAUCACAUUUACACAAUCAUGCCAUUUCAGAUUCCAGCUUUUUCUCUGUAGUUUUUGUUUUGUUUUGUUUUGUUCUUUGGUACCGGGGAUCAAACUUGGGUCCUUGUGCUUGUGAGGCAGAUGGUGGCACCAACUGAGCUAAAUCCCCGGCCGAGAUUUCAGCUUUUAAAGGAAAGUCAUCAUGAGAGAUGAAAGAGACCAAUGGAAAUCACAGGGAAAAAAUGCACUAAUCAAGACCACAGGAAGGUGAUGCUAGUUGCAAUUUUUUGACCUUGCUGGAAUUAUCCAGGCUGUUUGUACCCAGAAACACUAUGGUGAACUCCAAAUAUCGUGAGGGCUUCUUAGAGCAUUUAAGAAAUAAUGUGUGUAAAAAAGUCUUUAAAAAUUGGCAAAUGGUUGCAUCGCUUCUGGUAUGGUAAUUUCUGAAAAAUAAAGACAUUACAGUGUGUUCUUUUCCACCUUAUUCACUGGAU